rfam:Triticum aestivum genome assembly, contig: Triticum_aestivum_CS42_TGACv1_scaffold_221466_3B
CUUCUACUCCCUCCGUUCGGAAUUACUCGUCGGAGAAAUGAAUGUAUCUAGAUGUAUUUUAGGUGUAGAUACAUCCAUUUUUGUGACAAGUAAUUUCUAACGGAGGGAGUACCAG